rnacentral:lncRNA from 1 species
UGGUGCAAUGUAUCCAAGAGUGCCCAAUGUCUCUGUAUAAGCCAUGGACUUGCUUAUCGCUAAAAUUUUAGAGAUGCCAAAAUCACCAACAUGAGCCACCAUAUCUUCAUCCAAAAGAACGUUGGCUGGCUUUAGGUCGCAAUGAAACUAUUGGAGUGUUAUCUCCAUGGUGUAGAUAUUCAAUUGCCACAGCCACAUCAAGCAUUAUGGCGACUCUUUGAAGAAGGUUUAAGUUGGACUCUUCUCUGUACAACCAAUUCUCAAGACUCCCAUUUGACAUAUAUUGCAGAACAAAGGCUCUUAUGUAGUCACUAGAACAAGUAGUAAUCAACGGAACAAGAUUUCUAUGUCUAACAUUUCUCAUCACUUCGCAUUUGGUGUCAAACCUUUUGCAUACUUCCUCACUUUGCAAAUCCACAACCUUAAUGGCCACCAAAGUUCCACCAGGUAAAGUGCCUUUGUACACAGAGCCAGAACCUCCCACACCAAUUAAAUUUGAUUCAUCAAAAUUAUUUGUUGCUAGUUGAAUCUCGUGAUAAGAAACUAAUUGAGGAGUCCUGAUCUCCGGUACCUUUUCAACAUCUUUGGACUUUCCUUUCUUCUGUCGUUUCAUUAUCCAAAUUGAAACCAACAAGAAUAUCAGCAAGGAUGAAAUAACCACUGGAGUAGCAAUUUUUAGCACAACCCCCUUAAGCUUUGAUUGUUUUCCAGGAUAAGUGAUAGCACAAGCAGGAAUCUCCAAAUAGACCUUUGUUCCCAAGAAAUGAUUGCAGAGUGGAAUUUGCAAACACACCACCACUCUGUAUUACACCUUCUAAAUCAUUAAAUGAAACAUUAAUGCUUUUAAAGACAAAUUCAAGAAUUCCAAGCUCGUCAAGUUGGCAAGGGAUCAUGGAAUUUGUCCAAAAAAUGAGUUGUUUGAUAGGACAAGAGACUGCAGGUUUAGAAGUUCUCCCAAUCUGCUUGAUAACAUUCCUGAAAAGUGAUUACUGGAAAGAUCUAGCGCUAUAAUGACUUUAAGUUCUCCAAUAUCUGAUGGAACUUCUCCCUCUAAAGAAUUUUGUGACACAUUUAGAAAGAGAAGGCCACUCAUUUUCCAAAGGUUUGAUGGAAAUUUUGAUGAAAAUUUAUUAGAACCCAAAUAAAGAUAUUGUAGCAUGCUAAGAUUUCCUAAGCAUUCUGGAAUUAAUCCAGAGAGCUCAUUAACUUGCAGAGUUAAUUUAACCAAAUUAGAUAAUUGGCAUACUGCCUUUGGAAUAUGUCCCUGCAAUUUAUUGUUAGUUAGAUACAACCCUUGGAGUUGUUUAAGCUUACCAAUCUCAGGAGGAAUACUCCCUGUCAAGUUGUUUCCUUCAAUGAUUAGGGUUGUAAGACCGCUCACGUUGCCUAUACUUGUGGGGAUGAGGCCAUUGAUGUGUGCAUCUGCUAUAUAAAAGUUUUGAAUAGUAUAUGAAAGAUUCCCAAUAGAAUUGGGCAACACCAUUCAACGGAUUGUUACCCACUUGUAGAUAUUGCAACAUCCUACAGUCCGCCAAAGAAUUGAAGAAUAGCAACUCACGCUGUCUUGGUUCAUUGGCAAGUUGAUUAGUAUGUAGGAGCAGUAUUUGCAGCUCAUGAAGAUUUCCCAAAUUAUUAGGAAUAGUUCCUGUGAGAAAGUUAUUAUUUAGCUCCAGUAUCUCAAGCUUGGAAGCAUUUGUUAUGAACAAUGGAAUUGCCCCUUUGAUCUGGUUGACUCCCAAGUGAAGAUCCUUAAUGUUUGGAAGAUGAAGACCUGUAGUGGUUGGAAUUCUUCCGGAGAGGUUAUUGAAACUGAAAUCAAUAACUUCCAAAGAAGAUAUGUUGAAAAUAGCCUCUGGAAUUUGACCAAUUAGAUUAUAAUUAUUCCUAAAGCAUAAUUGCCGCAAAUUUGAUAGCUUCCCUAAUUGCAGAGGAAUUUACCCCACUAUGCAAUUGUUUCCACAAUAAAGAUAUUGCAGAGUGGAAAUAUUUCCCAAUGAUGUGGGAAUAGUCCCUUUCGUUGGAUUAUCACCAAUUAAGAACUUUUUGAGCUUGGAUAAACAAUCAAUAUUUCUGGGUAUUUCUCCAGUUAUGUUGUUGUAAGAUAUGGACAAAACUUCGAGCUCUGUGAGUUGGCAUAUGUUGGAAGGAAUGCAACCAGACCAUAUCUAGAGGUGGAACCAAGUGAACAGGAGGUCAUGCAUUCUAAGACAUUUCAUAUGAACUCUUAUAGAAACCACACCGAACCAAGUGAACGGGAGGUCAUGCAGUCCAAGACAAGUUUGGAAAAAAGCAUGUUGCUUGACCAACCAUAUCUAGAGGCGGAUCCAUGAUAUAAAGUUUAUAAAUUUUUAUUAUGAUUUAUAUUAAUAUACAAUAAUAAAUGGAUUUUCAUAGUCAAAUAUUAAUAAUUAUUUUGUUAAUUUCUCAAUACAAAUAACUAGUAAUUUGAGCUCACAUUUUAUCGACUUUUCGAGCUUCAAUUUCAAGGAAAUUGAUACUUUAUAUAUCUUUUAUCUUCAAUUCUUCUUGCUUGGUGGUCCCCAAAUCAAGAAUUUGUUUGCAUACUUCUUUACAUUAAACUUGAAUGAAAACACAAUCAUUCGCUCAACACACUAAACUAAAGAAUGUGGGGUUUGAAGUACAAGAGACAGUUCAUUUUUGUGUCAAUCAAAUUCAAUGUCAAGAUGUAUUUAUUUUUACCUCUAUUGCUCCUCCAAGACAUGAAUGAUAUCCAUGAAUCUAUUUCAAGGUCUUUACCUUACAAAACUCGCAGAAAAAUAUAUUUUAGGUGUUUUUUUACCAUUACCUCUUGAUUUUUUGCUAAGUCUACACGGAUUCUAAGAAUAUAAUUGAAUUGAUUCAUCAAAUCUGUCUGUUAUAUUCCUAUAUAGUUCUGUUCCCUUUUCCACUUCAUCCAAACACAUUUUGCAUCUAACCUUAGUUCUUUUGGUUAUCUCUUUCAAGUUUCCGGCCUUCAACAGGUCUCACAUCACUAAAAUAGUGUCCGAGAUGCAUCUUCCAGCUAGUAUAACAUGUUUUUUUAGUGAAAAUAGCAAACAGUAAGUUAAUUUUUUUGAAAUUAUAAAAGCUGACUUUAUUCACAUAUUUGCAAUCAUUCAUUAUGCAAUUAUUAAAACUUACCUAGUCCAACUAAUGUCAACAACCCUCUUUAUUGCUAUAAAUAUGUUAACAACCCUCUUUAAUGCUGUCAAUUCUAUGUACUACUUUUUGAAAUUUCAAAGAAAUUCAUUUUUUUCUACUAUGGGAAAAAGGAGAAGUAAUAAAUGGUGAGGGAAUCUUACUAUCUCGAUUGAUUGACUUUCUACUAACUCUUUCACCUUAUUGGUGAGAAUUUGAUUCAGCACAUUGUAAUUCCUGUGAGCCCAUCUAACUUAUAUGGAUUGACGUGAACACAUAUCACGUAAGUUAGAUCUGCCCCUGACCACAUCACAACUUGCAUUGAUCAUAAAUUAAUAUUGCAAUAUCUGAGAGCAGAAUAUUCAAACAAUAAUAAUAAUUACGUCUCAAUUCCGAACAAGUGAGCGAAAUUUAUAGAAAAUAAUCUAAAAAAUCAAUUGCACCAACCAACCUAUAAAGAGAUGAUAUAUUACCACUUCCUCGGAACAAUGCCUUUCUUCUCCAAAAUGCAACACUCUAAAGUAUAAACAAUACAUGACUUCGAGUAGUACAUACGCCUUUACUAAAGAAACCAGUAAACAAAAAGCAACAAGUUAACUUGCAGAUCAGAAAGAGAUGCUGAUCACUUCUACAUUUCCAAAAAUGUGUUCUUGAUUUUGUUAAGCCUCUUGACUACUUCUUUCAUGGUUACUCUUGAUUCUGGCAUUUUCUUUGUGCAGUCUAAAGCCAAUUCUAUCAUGGAGGCUAUGCACAUUUCACUUUUACAAGUAAUUUGUUCUUCCUCAGAAAAAAGAUUAGCAUCCACAACAUCCAUCAUACUCCCUGAAAAUGAUUGUGUUAUCCAUUUCCUCAGGUCAAGAUUUUCAUUGCAUAUAUCUUCAUCUGUUGGCCGUCUUUUGGUCAAAACCUCCAUCAACAUAAUGCCAUAACUAUAAACAUCACCACUAGCGGACACUAUUCCCUCCGAGCCAUAUUCUUAGAAAAGAAUUGAAGAAAAGUUACUCAAUUGAAAUACAACAAUAAUUCUGCAUAAAUAAAUCCUUGCUUUUUCUUACUUGUAGAAUUUAGAGAGGUUUAAUUAUGAUAAGAGAAAAUCAAAGAGGGUAGAUUUUUUAUACCUGGUGCAAUGUAUCCAAGAGUACCCAAUGUCUCGGUAUAGGCCAUGGACUUGCUUAUAGCUAAAAUUUUAGAGAUUCCAAAAUCACCAACAUGAGCCACCAUAUCUUCAUCCAAAAGAACGUUGGCUGGCUUUAGGUCGCAAUGAACUAUUGGAGCAACAUGACAAUGAUGUAGAUAUUCAACUGCCAUAGCUGCAUCAAGCAUUACAGUUACUCUUUGAUGAAGGUUCAAGUGGCGAUCUUCUUUGUACAGCCAAUUCUCAAGACUUCCAUUGGGCAUAA